rnacentral:rRNA from 1 species
GACGAACGCUGGCGGCGUGCUUAACACAUGCAAGUCGAACGGAAAGGCCCUGCUUUUGUGGGGUGCUCGAGUGGCGAACGGGUGAGUAACACGUGAGUAACCUGCCCUUGACUUUGGGAUAACUUCAGGAAACUGGGGCUAAUACCGGAUAGGAUCUCCUGCUGCAUGGUGGGGGUUGGUAAGUUUCGGCGGUUGGGGAUGGACUCGCGGCUUAUCAGCUUGUUGGUGGGGUAGUGGCUUACCAAGGCUUUGACGGGUAGCCGGCCUGAGAGGGUGACCGGCCACAUUGGGACUGAGAUACGGCCCAGACUCCUACGGGAGGCAGCAGUGGGGAAUAUUGCACAAUGGGCGGAAGCCUGAUGCAGCAACGCCGCGUGCGGGAUGACGGCCUUCGGGUUGUAAACCGCCUUCGCCUGUGACGAAGCGUGAGUGACGGUAGUGGGUAAAGAAGCACCGGCUAACUACGUG